GACGAACGCUGGCGGCGUGCUUAACACAUGCAAGUCGAACGGAAAGGCCCUGCUUUUGUGGGGUGCUCGAGUGGCGAACGGGUGAGUAACACGUGAGUAACCUGCCCUUGACUUUGGGAUAACUUCAGGAAACUGGGGCUAAUACCGGAUAGGAGCUCCUGCUGCAUGGUGGGGGUUGGAAAGUUUCGGCGGUUGGGGAUGGACUCGCGGCUUAUCAGCUUGUUGGUGGGGUAGUGGCUUACCAAGGCUUUGACGGGUAGCCGGCCUGAGAGGGUGACCGGCCACAUUGGGACUGGGAUCCGGCCCGGACUCCUACGGGGGGCAGCGGUGGGGAAUAUUGCACAAUGGGCGGAAGCCUGAUGCAGCAACGCCGCGUGCGGGAUGACGGCCUUCGGGUUGUAAACCGCUUUCGCCUGUGACGAAGCGUGAGUGACGGUAAUGGGUAAAGAAGCACCGGCUAACUACGUG
rnacentral:rRNA from 1 species